GGGGAAUUUUGGACAAUGGGCGCAAGCCUGAUCCAGCCAUGCCGCGUGCAGGAUGAAGGCCUUCGGGUUGUAAACUGCUUUUGUACGGAACGAAAAGACUCCUUCUAAUAAAGGGGGUCCAUGACGGUACCGUAAGAAUAAGCACCGGCUAACUACGUGCCAGCAGCCGCGGUAAUACGUAGGGUGCGAGCGUUAAUCGGAAUUACUGGGCGUAAAGCGUGCGCAGGCGGUUAUAUAAGACAGAUGUGAAAUCCCCUGGCUCAACCUGGGAACUGCAUUUGUGACUGUAUAGCUAGAGUACGGCAGAGGGGGAUGGAAUUCCGCGUGUAGCAGUGAAAUGCGUAGAGAUGCGGAGGAACACCGAUGGCGAAGGCAAUCCCCUGGGCCUGUACUGACGCUCAUGCGCGAAAGCGUGGGGAGCGAACA
rnacentral:rRNA from 1 species